ensembl:lncRNA
CGGGGCUAACCCCGGGGAACUGGGUGGGGCCCCCGGCGCCGGGGGCCGGGCUGGGCCUCUCGGUCGACCGAGGCAGAGCAGCGCGUGAGGCCCGCGUCCCGCUCCGCCCGGCGCGGGUGCGCUCGGAGCGGGGCAAGUGGGCGGCCUCGCGGCGGGUUCAAGUGCAUCCCCGGGGUUGGAGCCCGCGGCGGUGGGAGCGAGCUCUCCCUCGUGCAGCCCCCUCUCCGGAGCCCAGCGCGGCGCGCCGCCCCGGGGACCCCUCUCCUCGGCCCUCCCCCUCGGGCUGGCCGUCGGCCUGGGACAGGGACUCAGCCCCGGGCUCACGGCCACGGGCUCUCCAAGUCCAACGUGGAGACUCCGCACGGAAAAGAAGUCGGACAUCUCUCCACGCUGCUUCGAGUGGAAUCUGGAAUCAGCAGGAAAUUGCUGGAGAACCCAGCCCGAGCCUUGGCAGUCAACCCUCGCUCUGGUGAAGAGAAGCAGCUCCCACCAAAGUCUUGCCUCCCUCUCCCCCCGAAAGCCCCGCGCAGGUUUGUAAAGAGGGGUGCGAGAUCUGCAAAGGAUUUGUCUUCCAGGAAGAAAGAUGACGGUGACGGCGCCCAAUGAAAGAUGGGUGCCUGUAAGCGAGAAGUAACCACGGGCCACGUUUUGUAGUCCAAAAAGAUGCAAACGCUGCCAUCUGAGGAGUCAGUAUCAGGAGUGAAUUACUUAUAAGUUGGCGAAACAGGAAGUAAAUGGGCAGUGACACAUUUCGGGGCAUCAUUUUUUCUCAGGGUUGUUCAAGGUUUUCAGCUGCAUUUAAGAAUGAGUUGCCUUUUGCAAAGAAGUAAAUACUUUUAAGUAAACCACUUGCUAAAGCCCAGAAGAGAGUUUCCCAGCUCACUAAAGGCAGUGAUACCUGCCCGUGUGGGACUUUGCUUUACAAGUCGGUGCCUGCAGAGCCCAUAUUCCAGGUUGGAGCCUUCAGGAAAAGCCCAGAGUCAUGCGCUUACCUGGGUGAAGCCAAAAAGAGACUGCAGCAUGCCAGCCUUCCCUGUCCUUCACUGGCUCCUGGAGUUUGCUCAAACUCAUGUCGACUGAGUCUGUGAUGCCAACCAACCAUCUUGUCCUCUGUAUACAGUACAACAGGGAAGGGUUCAGCUCUGCCAGAAAGGGAAUGUAAGCAGAAGGAAUUCCUGCUCUGAACCCCACCCCCAGAGCUACAGACUCCUGAGUUCAUGACUUGUGGGUCACACACAUCCCUCUGUCCUGGACACCUGGGCCGGGCCUGCGGUGCAAAGCGUCACUCAGCACGCCUGCCGGCUCCGUCAGUACCCACCGCACAGCAGCUUUCCUUCUCUCAACGCUUGGCUGCCUGCCAUGCUGACCCCAGGAACAGAGCCUCCUAAGAAAAAGGUACGUAAGAAAUGAGGGCUGAACACACACCAUGUCUUCCUCGAGACCAGCCAGCUCUCCUCAUGAGAACAGCUUUCCAAGCCUAGGGCUUGGUUCCAGCUCCAUUACAACAAAGAAAAACCUUUAUAACAUUUGUCCACAAUCUAAGCCACAGGAAAAUCCUGACUGCACAGCACAUGACAUGGUGUGGAGAGUAUAAGCACACUGGAGAAAGAAGAAUUACUAUGCAAAAGCUAUUGACGCACAAGACCUUCGUAACAAGCAGGAAAUGUGCAAAGACAGAUCCCUGUGCGGGAGAUAACAGCUGUCCCUGUUGGGACCCAAGGCUCAAAGGGCAGCUUGUGAGACACUGGCUGCUGCUCGACACGGCGUUAUUUCCUUGGCAUGUGACGGAACUGGGGGCCUUCCUUGCUUUUCUCUGGUGUCCUUCUUUUGUCAUUGUUUGUGAAGGUAGUUGAGCUUCGGUUUGGUCUGGAAUCCCGUGACACUUAGAGCUAUAAGAUCAAAGUCCAUCAUAGGCAUUUGGGUUGGUGCCUGGUGCCAGCAAAGUUCAGGCUGGGCUUCAAAUGGGGCUUGAGUGCCUCUUUUGCUGUUAAGUCGCUUCAGUCGUGUCCAACUCUGUGUGACCCCGUAAAUGGCAGCCCACCAGGCUCCCCCAACCCUGGGAUUCUCCAGGCAAGAACACUGGAGUGGGUUGCCAUUUCCUUCUCCAAUGCAUGAAAGUGAAAAGUGAAAGUGAAGUCUCUCAGUCAUGUCCGACUCUUCGUGACCUCAUGGACCGCAGCCUACCAGGCUCCUCCACCCAUGGGAUUUUCCAGGCAAGAGUACUGAAGUGGGGUGCCAUCGCCUUCUCUUGGCCGCGGUCAAAGGCUGGCUGGGUUUGAUCUUGAACUGAGGAGUUGCAGGUCCUUGAUUGAUAAACCCUGCUUGGCAGAGCUCUGCUUUAAUUAACGUGGCCCUUGUGUUGGGUGGAUUUCCUGUGUUUUAGCACCUCCCUAGAUGUAACCUUAUCUCUCCAUUUUCAACCCAUGAUUGAUCUGAAACACCACAGGUGAGGUUUCUCUUUGACUCAACAGCUGGAUUACUUCCAGGUUUUCCCACCACAGAAGAGAAGUCCCAAACUCUAGCAGUUCUUAUCAUUUGACAUUUUAUGGGGCAGCCACUGUGGGUGAGAUGCUAAUAUGGUUAGACACAGGUCCAGUAAACUGAACUUAGUGCCUGAAAGUGUAUUCAUCUACAAUGUGUAAAUGUUAGAGACAAUGGAAGUAAACAAAUGAUAGAUGGUGUUUAGGGGGGAGGUGACAGCAAGGUGUCUCUCAGAAGCUUGGAAAGAGGGCAAGUGGUUGACCUUUAAGCAUUAAGCUACUUAAAUAACUGCAUAAGUGAAGGAGGCAGAAGGUUUCAUUGAUCCUUUGGGAAAAAUGAUUUAGAGGGAACAGGAAGAUAGCCCAGCGCCCUGAGGAUCACAUGUCCUGCAAGAUGCUUCUCAGGUCAGUUUGGGACAAUCUUUGAUAGUCACAAUGCACAUUUCACUUUGUUUACACUUGUGUUUCUAUCAAACUUAAAAAAAUAAAAUGGACCUCCA